AAUGAAUGAUGAUAAAAUGUUUUGGGCCCAAAUGAUAUGCAGUGAUUAUGCCAUUACAUUUUUUCUGACAUU